CGACUAUACACCUAGGCUGUAUGGUAUAGCCCAUUGCUCCUAGGCUACAAAGCUGUACAGCAUGUUGCUGAACUGAAUACCGCCGGCAAUUGCAAUACAGUGGUAUUUGUGUAUCCGAACAUACGAAAGUGAAAGCAAUGCUCAUUCAAUGGAUCAAGUCACACCAGAGAAAAAUCUGUUCACAUAUAAAUGCAGAGAAAAGGCUGGCAAUAAAGUGACUGACUGUGCACAGGAGUGAAAGGAGCAUGGAGUUGUCAGUGACAAAGUCUGUAUGCAUGUCCUGGAUCCUUCACUACCAAAUGUGGACCUUUGAAAAGGAGUUACAGCUCCAGGGCCUGAGAGACCUUGGCAAUAACAGUGAGCGGAAGAUUUACUCGGCAGCAUAUACGUUGAACAAGAAUCAGCGCUAAAACCUUAAUACCUAUUGGAGAUGCCGGGGAUCGAACCCGGGACCUCAUACAUGCAAAGCAUGCGCUCUACCACUGAGCUACAU